rnacentral:misc_RNA from 1 species
GAUGAAGAAGCAGCGAAAUGCGAUAAGUAGUGUGAAUUGCAGAAUUCAGUGAAUCAUCGAAUCUUUGAACGCACAUUGCGCCCCUUGGUAUUCCAUGGGGCAUGCCUGUUCGAGCGUCAUUUGUACCUUCAAGCUCUGCUUGGUGUUGGGUGUUUGUCUCGCCUCUGCGUGUAGACUCGCCUCAAAACAAUUGGCAGCCGGCGUAUUGAUUUCGGAGCGCAGUACAUCUCGCGCUUUGCACUCAUAACGACGACGUCCAAAAGUACAUUUUUACACUCUUGACCUCGGAUCAGGUAGGGAUACCCGCUGAACUUAAGCAUAUCAAUAAGCGGAGGA